UCGAGCGGUAGCACAAGAGAGCUUGCUCUCUGGGUGACGAGCGGCGGACGGGUGAGUAAUGUCUGGGAAACUGCCUGAUGGAGGGGGAUAACUACUGGAAACGGUAGCUAAUACCGCAUAACGUCUUCGGACCAAAGUGGGGGACCUUCGGGCCUCACGCCAUCAGAUGUGCCCAGAUGGGAUUAGCUAGUAGGUGGGGUAAUGGCUCACCUAGGCGACGAUCCCUAGCUGGUCUGAGAGGAUGACCAGCCACACUGGAACUGAGACACGGUCCAGACUCCUACGGGAGGCAGCAGUGGGGAAUAUUGCACAAUGGGCGCAAGCCUGAUGCAGCCAUGCCGCGUGUGUGAAGAAGGCCUUCGGGUUGUAAAGCACUUUCAGCGAGGAGGAAGGGUGGUGUGU
rnacentral:rRNA from 1 species